ensembl:lncRNA
CUGCUCAGAAUUCUCCAAUGGCCCUCUCUUACCCUCAGGGGAAAAAGCUAAGCUCCUCACCUGUGUCCUGCCAAGGUCACCAGUCUCAUCUUAUGCCACCCCACUGCUGCCUCCUACAAGGUGCCUGAGUGUUUCUCAUCAACAACAGCUGGGCCUUUUGUGUUUUCUCAAGAGGAACAGAGUGCUGGUGGCGUGUUUUCCCGCUGUACCAGGAAGAGAAGAUCAGCGUUUCUAAAACGUCCUCAUUCAGGGUGAAGUGGAAAUAUUCCAGCGCUGGGGAGUCAGUUCCAGACAAAACUCAGCAGAUAAUCUCAGCGCUUGCACCACGACUGCUAAUCCUGCACGCAAGACAGACAGCACGAAACGAACAGGAUGGCAGACAGCACCAAUCGAUGGCGGACAGUCUUUCCCACUGAGCAAAUCCUUCUCAACGCUGUGCUUCCAAGUGGCCAUUAGGAAUCAAUUCAUCUUGAUGAAGAAGCCAAAACUCAUUUGCCGUUCCCAAUUCUUGAGCAUGACCUCCAGAAAUUCCUGAAAUCAUUGAAAAUGACUCAGAGUAUUUCCCUCAGGGAGUCUGAUCCUGCUGACUCUUAAUUC